rnacentral:tRNA from 1 species
GGGCUGUUAGCUCAGUUGGUUAGAGCGCUCGCCUUACAAGCGAGAGGUCAAAGGUUCGAGCCCUUUACGGCCCA